UACAAGAUGGGGCCUCAAGGCGGGCGU
rnacentral:piRNA from 1 species